AUUGAACGCUGGCGGCAGGCCUAACACAUGCAAGUCGAGCGAGCGGCGGACGGGUGAGUAAUGCCUGGGAAUUGCCCAGUCGAGGGGGAUAACAGUUGGAAACGACUGCUACUACCGCAUACGAUUGGAUUGCCCAGGUGUGUUUAGCUAGUUGGUGAGGUAAUGGCUCACCAAGGCGACGAUCCCUAGCUGGUCUGCGAGGAGGAUCAGCCACACUGGAACGGAGACACAGUCCAGACGCCUACGGUAGGCAGUAGUGGAGAAUAUUGCACGAUGGUGCAAACCCUGAUGCAGCCAUGCCGCGUGUGUGAAGAAGGCCUUCGGGUUGUAAAGCACUGUCAGCGAGGAGGCGUUACUCGCAGAAGAAGCACCGGAUAACUCCGUGCCAGCAGACGCGGUAAUUC
rnacentral:rRNA from 1 species